AGGGACCAAGAUAACUAAACUCCC
rnacentral:siRNA from 1 species